GCAGUCGAACGGUAACAGGAAAUAGCUUGCUAUUUUGCUGACGAGUGGCGCACGGGUGCGUAACGCGUAUACAAUCUACCUUUUGCUGAGGGAUAGCCCAGAGAAAUUUGGAUUAAUACCUCAUGGUAUUAUUGAUAGGCAUCUAUUAAUAAUUAAAGGUUACGGCAAAAGAUGAGUAUGCGUCCCAUUAGCUAGUUGGUGAAGUAACGGUUCACCAAGGCAACGAUGGGUAGGGGUCCUGAGAGGGAGAUCCCCCACACUGGUACUGAGACACGGACCAGACUCCUACGGGAGGCAGCAGUGAGGAAUAUUGGACAAUGGGCGAGAGCCUGAUCCAGCCAUGCCGCGUGCAGGAAGACUGCCCUAUGGGUUGUAAACUGCUUUUAUACAGGAAGAAUAAGCCUUACGUGUAAGGUGAUGACGGUACUGUAAGAAUAAGGACCGGCUAACUCCGUGCCAGCAGCCGCGGUAAUACGGAGGGUCCGAGCGUUAUCCGGAAUUAUUGGAUUUAAAGGGUCCGUAGGCGGAUGAUUAAGUCAGGGGUGAAAGUUUGCAGCUCAACUGUAAAAUUGCCUUUGAUACUGGUCAUCUUGAGUUGUAUUG
rnacentral:rRNA from 1 species